UACGUAGGGGGCAAGCGUUGUCCGGAAUCAUUGGGCGUAAAGAGCGUGUAGGCGGCCAGAUAAGUCCGCUGUGAAAACUCGAGGCUCAACUUCGAGCUGUCGGUGGAAACUAUUUGGCUAGAGUCCGGAAGAGGAGAGUGGAAUUCCUGGUGUAGCGGUGAAAUGCGCAGAUAUCAGGAAGAACACCUGUGGCGAAGGCGACACCCUGGACCAGCACUGACACUGAGGCACGAAAGCGUGGGGAGCAAACAGG
rnacentral:rRNA from 1 species